GUCGAACGAACUUCCGUUAAUUGAUUAUGACGUACUUGUACUGAUUGAGAUUUUAACACGAAGUGAGUGGCGAACGGGUGAGUAACACGUGGGUAACCUGCCCAGAAGUAGGGGAUAACACCUGGAAACAGAUGCUAAUACCGUAUAACAGAGAAAACCGCAUGGUUUUCUUUUAAAAGAUGGCUCUGCUAUCACUUCUGGAUGGACCCGCGGCGUAUUAGCUAGUUGGUGAGGUAAAGGCUCACCAAGGCAGUGAUACGUAGCCGACCUGAGAGGGUAAUCGGCCACAUUGGGACUGAGACACGGCCCAGACUCCUACGGGAGGCAGCAGUAGGGAAUCUUCCACAAUGGACGCAAGUCUGAUGGAGCAACGCCGCGUGAGUGAAGAAGGGUUUCGGCUCGUAAAGCUCUGUUGUUAAAGAAGAACGUGGGUAAGAGUAACUGUUUACCCAGUGACGGUAUUUAACCAGAAAGCCACGGCUAACUACGUGCCAGCAGCCGCGGUAAUACGUAGGUGGCAAGCGUUAUCCGGAUUUAUUGGGCGUAAAGCGAGCGCAGGCGGUCUUUUAAGUCUAAUGUGAAAGCCUUCGGCUCAACCGAAGAAGUGCAUUGGAAACUGGGAGACUUGAGUGCAGAAGAGGACAGUGGAACUCCAUGUGUAGCGGUGAAAUGCGUAGAUAUAUGGAAGAACACCAGUGGCGAAGGCGGCUGUCUGGUCUGCAACUGACGCUGAGGCUCGAAAGCAUGGGUAGCGAACAGGAUUAGAUACCCUGGUAGUCCAUGCCGUAAACGAUGAUUACUAAGUGUUGGAGGGUUUCCGCCCUUCAGUGCUGCAGCUAACGCAUUAAGUAAUCCGCCUGGGGAGUACGACCGCAAGGUUGAAACUCAAAAGAAUUGACGGGGGCCCGCACAAGCGGUGGAGCAUGUGGUUUAAUUCGAAGCUACGCGAAGAACCUUACCAGGUCUUGACAUCUUCUGACAGUCUAAGAGAUUAGAGGUUCCCUUCGGGGACAGAAUGACAGGUGGUGCAUGGUUGUCGUCAGCUCGUGUCGUGAGAUGUUGGGUUAAGUCCCGCAACGAGCGCAACCCUUAUUACUAGUUGCCAGCAUUAAGUUGGGCACUCUAGUGAGACUGCCGGUGACAAACCGGAGGAAGGUGGGGACGACGUCAAAUCAUCAUGCCCCUUAUGACCUGGGCUACACACGUGCUACAAUGGAUGGUACAACGAGUCGCGAGACCGCGAGGUUAAGCUAAUCUCUUAAAACCAUUCUCAGUUCGGACUGUAGGCUGCAACUCGCCUACACGAAGUCGGAAUCGCUAGUAAUCGCGGAUCAGCAUGCCGCGGUGAAUACGUUCCCGGGCCUUGUACACACCGCCCGUCACACCAUGAGAGUUUGUAACACCCAAAGCCGGUGGGGUAA
rnacentral:rRNA from 1 species